CAGCUGUGUAGCAAUACAUGGCUGGGGGAAGCGGCGAAAGGGGCAGUAAGGCGUGGACAACGUACCCCGGGGACGCGGAUAGCCUCUCUAACGAGUGGGUAAUACGCGGCGAUUUGGCGAGGGGGCAUCUUCUUGCCAAGAAAUGAAUUUCGCCUCGGGAGCGGUUCACGUGGUAUUAGCUAGUUGGUGAGGUAACGGCUCACCAAGGCAAAGAUGCCUAGCGGGUGUGAGAGCACGACCCGCGCCACUGGCACUGAGACACUGGCCAGACACCUACGGGUGGCUGCAGUCGAGGAUCUUCCGCAAUGAGCGAAAGCUUGACGGAGCGACGCCGCGUGUGCGAUGAAGGCCUUCGGGUUGUAAAGCACUGUCGAGGGGGAUCAAAGCGCAAGCUUGAGUGAUCCCUGGAGGAAGCACGGGCUAAGUUCGUGCCAGCAGCCGCGGUAAGACGAACCGUGCGAACGUUGUUCGGAAUCACUGGGCUUAAAGGGCGCGUAGGCGGCUUGCCAAGUCAGGGGUGAAAUCUUGCGGCUUAACCGUAAUAAGCCUUUGAUACUGGCAGGCUCGAGGGAGGUAGGGGCAUGUGGAACUUCUGGUGGAGCGGUGAAAUGCGUUGAUAUCAGAAGGAACGCCGGUGGCGAAAGCGACGUGCUGGAUCUCUUCUGACGCUGAGGCGCGAAAGCUAGGGUAGCGAACGGGAUUAGAUACCCCGGUAGUCCUAGCCCUAAACGAUGGGUACUAGAUUGCAAGCGUGACAUGCGCCUGCAAUCGAAGCAAAAGUGUUAAGUACCCC
rnacentral:rRNA from 1 species